rnacentral:tRNA from 1 species
GGGCCGUUAGCUCAGCUGGGAGAGCGCCGGCUCGACAAGCCGGAGGUCGCUGGUUCGAGCCCAGCACGGCCCAC